CUUUAUGGUUUAGUUUCCACUUAACUGUCUUAUUUUCUUUUCUUUUUUCUCUCAUACCUGCCUCAUUUAUUUCAUUUAGAAAUAAACUUAGCUAGAAAUGUAAAUCAACUAGGAUUCGAACUUGGGUCUCGAGUACCAACCACCAAGCCCUUUGCCACUUGCUCUAGGGACGGUCGGUGUAACUGUCUUAUUUUCAAAAGAAUAAAUAUACUCUUGUUGAAGUUUUUCUUUUAAACCUAAUUCUUUCCGCUCUGUUAUUAUUGAAGCAACUGUUAUUCUCUAACAACUUAAACUGUCAAGAGAAUAAUGUUUAAAUACUUUAUGCUCAACACAAUAUUAAUUUAUUGC
rnacentral:lncRNA from 1 species